CUGGCCUCCAACGGGUCUGCUGGCACCUCGCCUGCCUCGAUGAAUCUCUUGAUCGGCGUUCUCCAAUCCCCCGACGUUAUUAUGCCGCACACCCCGGCCGGCUUGGGGCUGCUGGCUGUCGUUGGCCGCUCUUGGUUCUCGAUCCGAAUCCACCUUCCUUCUGCUUUCCCUGGGGACGCUCCCAGCUUGGCCAGCGUGUCGG
rnacentral:lncRNA from 1 species